rnacentral:rRNA from 1 species
GGUUAAGUGAAUAAGGGCGCACGGUGGAUGCCUUGGCACUAGGAGCCGAUGAAGGACGGGACUAACACCGAUAUGCUUUGGGGAGCUGUAAGUAAGCUAUGAUCCAGAGAUUUCCGAAUGGGGGAACCCAAUAUCUUUUAUAGGAUAUUACUUUUCAGUGAAUACAUAGCUGAUUAGAGGUAGACGCAGAGAACUGAAACAUCUUAGUACCUGCAGGAAGAGAAAGAAAAUUCGAUUCCCUGAGUAGCGGCGAGCGAAACGGGAAGAGCCCAAACCAACAAGCUUGCUUGUUGGGGUUGUAGGACUCCAAUAUGGUAGUCUGUUAGUAUAGUUGAAGGAUUUGGAAAAUUCCGCUAAAGAGGGUGAAAGCCCCGUAGACGAAAUGCUAACAACACCUAGGAGGAUCCUGAGUACGGCGGAACACGAGAAAUUCCGUCGGAAUCCGCGG